AGGGGGGGGGAUGGCGGCGGGACCGGGGGCGGGGGAGGGGGCCGGGGCGCGGAGGGGCGGAAGGGGAGGCCGGAUGGGGUGAGGGUAGAGCCCGGCGGGCGCUGCCUCCGUGUGAGUGGCGCCAGGCUGGAUGUGCCCAGCGCAGCCUCCGCACACCCUCCUGGGAACAAUGAGACCCAACAAAGGGUUCUCGGCUCUCCCACGUGGUGAACAGCGUCCUUCCCUCAUUGGGGAAAGUGAGGCACGGAAGAGGGAGGGCCUUGCUCCGGGAGCCUCCCCCCCUUCCCCCAGGGCACAGCGGUGAGGUGCCCUGGACCGAGACCUGGGCCUUUCUCUGCCCUAGUCUGCACCUGCAGCUCCCACACUGCUCUCUGCACCCCUCUUCUGCACACCUAUUUUGGCCUUGAGAAAGCCUCUCAGUUUCUGUUCCUUACUGAAGGCGUCAGGCAUCCUGUCGCCAUCAGGCUCCUGACCCUACUUGGUUGGGCUCAGACAUCCCCAAUCAAACCUGGAAACAGCAGUCCAGAAGUCACCGCCAGGACAACUCCCAGCCCCCAGCCCCCGAGGCACUCCUUUUCCUAGGUGAGUGGUAUUUACCGAGCCCCCAGUGUGAACAGCCUGGUGCCUGAGGCUCCAGGAGCUCCAGGGAAAGUCUAAGACCCAGUCCCUGUCUCCAAGAAGCUUACCAUCCAGCCACAGAGAGAAAGCUUACAAAGGACUUCUGUUCAAGAAGAAGGCAAGAGAGGAUGUGACUAAGUGUCAGGGCAUGAGUCACUGAGGGUAAAUGCAAAGGGGGUUCGGAGACGUGCCAACUCCAGGUUCACUGCAGAUGAAACUGAAGGGCUUAUCUGUUGAGAACAGGUGCCUCGGGAAGCUCGGCUCUGCAGGAGCAAAGUGGAGAAGGCUUGGGUUAACAGAGGCGGCCUCCAAGUUCUUCCACAAGUGACCGUUCUGUCCUAAAUCACACCUUGCACAAAGGUGUUUUUUUUCCUGCGUUUCCCCAUUGUCUAACAUCAUUACGUUUGAAUGGUGCCUUUGGCUUGGCCAGGCAAGCAUUCAUUCAACAGCUACUUACUGCACGUCAGCUCCAGGCCUGGAGCUUUUUUUCCUAGGUGGAAAGAAGCCAGUGACUAAAGUCCUUGCCCUGAGCAAGUCCAGCGGACAGGGGGCUCUCCUUUCACACAUAGGAAAACUGGUCCAAAGAGAGUGAGCAACUACCAGAAGCACCUGGUUUCUUAAUGACACAACCAGAUGCUUUGCUAGCUGCCUAGAAGCCUUAUCACCAGUGGGGCAGGAGGGAAGCAAUUCUGGUGCCUUUCGACCCCAGGUGAGGGGUUCUGGAGCCAUCUGAGCACCUCCCAGCUCCUCGCACCCUUGCAAGACACUACUUGGCAAGAGGCUAUGUGAUGGAGCAAGCAGGGCUUUGGCUCCUGGGGGAAGCUUCUUCCCGGAAGCUGGCUCUGCUCUGCCAAGCUCAGGUCAAGACAACCUGACGGACGGCAAUCUGGGUCCCAGUCCCCCUCUGAGCCACGCUGCUUCCGUUCCUGUUUCCUCUGCCUCCCUUUAGCUCUGUGGCUCUGUCUCCACGGUGGAGGAACUGGAGGACACCUCUGCUGGGGCAACCAGAGGGGCCUCUGUAGCAGAGGGAAGAGGCAGAGGAGCGAGGGGCCCUGAAGGGGCAGGUGCACGUAGGGCUGGGGAGCCCUGGCCCCGGAGGCUCCUCCUUGGCAGGCCGCGGGUGUGGGUAGGAGGCACAUUGCCGCUUGACAAAUGUGCCUCACAGGCUUCUGGCUCCUGUCCCUCACAUGUGCCACGUUAGCAUCCUGCCCACCAGGAGGAGGGAACAGCAAGAUGCCGUGUGAGGAAGAAAUAAACCCAAUCCAGCAUCUCAGAUGCUUUUAAAAAUAGCAACUCUGGGAUGGUAUUUCAGCUCCUAUUUUUAUCAGAUUUAUAUGACUGGACCAUGAAGCUGAGCUGUUCCCAGGGUUCUCAAUAGCAGGGGACAUCACUGUUGUAGUCUUAGAAACCUGCCAGUAGGCCAAGGCAUUCCAGGAACCUUUAGUCUGGAAGCGAUCCCAAGAAGUCACUGCGUGCAGUGCUUGCCUGUUUAAGGCCACAAUCAAUUAACCACAGAUCGUUCACGGCUUGCUUUUUGCCUUAAAGUCACUUGGUUGCUAUGCCUCCGCUGAAUCAUCUAGGAUUUUACAGCCCUUCGGAUCAGUUAGUUCUUUUUAAUAUCUAGCCCAAAUAUCUCUGGUUACAUCCUCUUUGGGCCUUCUCACAGUAGGACAAUAGUUAACGUUUACCGAGUGACCACUACGUCCACAAAAUCCUCUUAGUGAAUCGCGACAAAACCCCUCGUGGUGGGCACUAUUAUCAUUCCUAAUUUAGGAGCAGUUAUGUAACUUGCCCAAGGUUCGUACCUGGGUGCGGGGCAGACUCUGUGACGGAACCAUCAGACCCCACUGCCUCUUAGGCACUCGCACAGUCCUGAAGGAAAAACUGGCUGGCGUUCUAAUUGUGCACGCGUGCCUCAUGCUGGCUUAGGUCGAGGCCCCCCAGCGUGCUGAGCCAUGCUCUUUCCAACUGCUGGGCCUACGAUCGUGCGGGCCUUUGCUAUCAAGCUUAGCCUAGAAAUGUGGCGUCUCUUUGCGUAAGGUCUCACAGCCCCCUCUGCUUUUUUGAAGGCAUUCGCCACUCUUGUAAUCACUUUGCAAUUAAUGAAGUCCAAUGUAAUUGAAUUGAAACACUCUAAACAGAUUCCGUCCAUGUUUAUUUUUUAAGUGGUUAAAACAUGGGAACUUCCAGUUUAUGUAGAUUUCAGAAUCCAAUAUAAUUUUCCUAAUAAUAACAAUACAAUAAACGCAGGGUUGCCGACA